rnacentral:rRNA from 1 species
AUUGAACGCUGGCGGCAUGCCUUACACAUGCAAGUCGAACGGCAGCACGGGUGCUUGCACCUGGUGGCGCGUGGCGAACGGGUGAGUAAUACAUCGGAACAUGUCCUGUAGUGGGGGAUAGCCCGGCGAAAGCCGGAUUAAUACCGCAUACGAUCUACGGAUGAAAGCGGGGGACCUUCGGGCCUCGCUCUAUAGGGUUGGCCGAUGGCUGAUUAGCUAGUUGGUGGGGUAAAGGCUUACCAAGGCGACGAUCAGUAGCUGGUCUGAGAGGACGACCAGCCACACUGGGACUGAGACACGGCCCAGACUCCUACGGGAGGCAGCAGUGGGGAAUUUUGGACAAUGGGCGAAAGCCUGAUCCAGCAAUGCCGCGUGUGUGAAGAAGGCCUUCGGGUUGUAAAGCACUUUUGUCCGGAAAGAAAUCCUUGGCCCUAAUACGGUCGGGGGAUGACGUUACCGGAAGAAUAAGCACCGGCUAACUACGUG